rnacentral:rRNA from 1 species
CCUACGGGAGGCAGCAGUGGGGAAUUUUGGACAAUGGGCGCAAGCCUGAUCCAGCAAUGCCGCGUGAGUGAAGAAGGCCUUCGGGUUGUAAAGCUCUUUUGUCAGGGAAGAAACGGCCUGUUCUAAUACAGUGGGCUAAUGACGGUACCUGAAGAAUAAGCACCGGCUAACUACGUGCCAGCAGCCGCGGUAAUACGUAGGGUGCAAGCGUUAAUCGGAAUUACUGGGCGUAAAGCGUGCGCAGGCGGUUUUGUAAGUCUGUCGUGAAAUCCCCGGGCUCAACCUGGGAAUGGCGAUGGAGACUGCAAGGCUAGAGUUUGGCAGAGGGGGGUAGAAUUCCACGUGUAGCAGUGAAAUGCGUAGAUAUGUGGAGGAACACCGAUGGCGAAGGCAGCCCCCUGGGUCAAAACUGACGCUCAUGCACGAAAGCGUGGGGAGCAAACAGGAUUAGAUACCCUGGUAGUCCACGCCCUAAACGAUGUCUACUAGUUGUCGGGUCUUAAUUGACUUGGUAACGCAGCUAACGCGUGAAGUAGACCGCCUGGGGAGUCGGUCGCAAGNUUAAAACCUAGAAGUAGUGCGNGNGAGNGCGACGACGACGACGACGGAGGAGG